AGACAUGAGAAUGUUUCUUCUGGAAGAUGUGAUUCUAAAAGAAAAAGAAGGAAAUAUUUUAUAUGUCUAACUUUUAACCAGGAAUUGUGGGAGGUUUUCAAUGUUUAAGAAACUGUUUAAGAAGUUUUCUUUAUGAUCAAAAUAUGUUUAUUCUCUCAAUUUCUGAACCAAUAAUUGGCUUGUCAUUUUAAAGCCUUAACAAAGUUAUUGUGGCAAAAUAUUUUCUUGAAAAAUAAUGCAUCUAAUUUUCGACUUCCUGUGGCCCUACUACUAUCCUUGCUUCCCAAAACAAAGGUCUCCAACUCAGGCAAAUACAGUCUCUGCAAAGUGGAACUCAAAAUAUUAACGAGUCACUGCAAGAAAGAAUACAGUGUAAAGGAAAUUUGGAUGGGACUGCAAGUAAAAUCAAUGAAGUCUAUCCAAAUGUAGAUCCUGGAGGAAUACAAUCUGUGUCUCUUACAUCAAGAAAGACUUAGUACUCUCCAAGAAUACCAUUUUGUACCAAGUUCAAACUGGAGGAUCACAAGUCUUUACAUGUGACUUAGGAAACAGGAAGAAGCAACCAAACCAAUCUAAGUGAGGCUUCAUUAAGGAACCCCAAUUUCAUUAUGUUAUGAGCCCUGAUUUAGUCACUGAAACCCUUACCUACAAGGCAUCGGCGAGUUUGGGACUUAAGCAUUUGCUGCCUGAUCCUCCUUGCUUGGGCACUGCAUACCAACACCUUCCUUUCUACAGCUGCAAACCUUCCUUUACAUAUCUGGUUCUACUGUGCCAGAAAGUUCCACACCAACGGGGAGAUGGAAAGUGGUGGAAGUGAACAGCCUCCAUGGGAAGGAUUAUCACUAGCAUCGUUUAGAAAUCUGGAUACGUGAGGAUGAUAAAAAAAAGACUGACAAUUGACUUCAAUAUUCCUUUUAAAUUACCUCAUGACAAUGCAUAUCUUAUCUUUUGCUUCCACCUAUUCUCACAUUUGCCACUGACUCCUGGCACAUCAUAGGUGCUCUAUAAAUGAUCAUUAACUGGGUCAAUAAAUGAGUAUAAGGUGUUCAAUAAA
rnacentral:lncRNA from 1 species